AACGGCAGCGAGGAGAAGCUUGCUUCUCUGUCGGCGAGUGGCGAACGGGUGAGUAUAGCAUCGGAACGUGCCAAGUAGUGGGGGAUAACCAAACGAAAGUUUGGCUAAUACCGCGUAAGCUCCAAGGAGGAAAGUAGGGGACCUAAUAAGGCCUUACGCUAUUUGAUCGGCCGAUGUCGGAUUAGCUAGUUGGUGGGGUAAUAGCUCACCAAGGCAAUGAUCCGUAGCGGGUCUGAGAGGACGAUCCGCCACACUGGGACUGAGACACGGCCCAGACUCCUACGGGAGGCAGCAGUGGGGAAUUUUGGACAAUGGGGGAAACCCUGAUCCAGCCAUGCCGCGUGUAUGAAGAAGGCCUUAGGGUUGUAAAGUACUUUUGUUAGGGAAGAAAAGCUAGUUUUUAAUAAAAAUUAGUGAUGACGGUACCUAAAGAAUAAGCACCGGCUAACUACGUGCCAGCAGCCGCGGUAAUACGUAGGGUGCAAGCGUUAAUCGGAAUUAUUGGGCGUAAAGCGAGUGCAGACGGUUACUUAAGCCAGAUGUGAAAUCCCCAAGCUUAACUUGGGACGUGCAUUUGGAACUGGGUGACUAGAGUGUGUCAGAGGGAGGUAGAAUUCCACAUGUAGCGGUGGAAUGCGUAGAGAUGUGGAGGAAUGCCGAUGGCGAAGGCAGCCUCCUGGGAUAACACUGACGUUGAGGCUCGAAAGCGUGGGGAGCAAAC
rnacentral:rRNA from 1 species